GGAGCCAGAGGAGCUGAAGACUGAUUAUCAUGAAACAAAGCUCAUUUUAAGACAUUUAACCCUUUAAAUGUUCUGAAUGGAUGAAUGGUGGAGACAUUUUGCUGCAGUGGGGAUCGAACCUGUGACUGUUCCUCUGUUCCUGGCUCAGCUCAGGAUGUGGACUCAGGACUUCUGCUGACCCCUACAGACCCCCAUGAACAAUGGCGGGGCAGCGAGCGGGGGGGCCCGUGGGAGCUGGCCGCGUGCCCCUGUGCAUGAUGGGAAGGGGCCGCGGGCGGAGGC